rnacentral:rRNA from 1 species
GAUGAACGCUGGCGGCGUGCCUAAUACAUGCAAGUCGAGCGAACAGAUAAGGAGCUUGCUCCUUUGACGUUAGCGGCGGACGGGUGAGUAACACGUGGGUAACCUACCUAUAAGACUGGGAUAACUUCGGGAAACCGGAGCUAAUACCGGAUAAUAUUUCGAACCGCAUGGUUCGAUAGUGAAAGAUGGUUUUGCUAUCACUUAUAGAUGGACCCGCGCCGUAUUAGCUAGUUGGUAAGGUAACGGCUUACCAAGGCGACGAUACGUAGCCGACCUGAGAGGGUGACCGGCCACACUGGAACUGAGACACGGUCCAGACUCCUACGGGAGGCAGCAGUAGGGAAUCUUCCGCAAUGGGCGAAAGCCUGACGGAGCAACGCCGCGUGAGUGAUGAAGGUCUUCGGAUCGUAAAACUCUGUUAUUCGGGAAGAACACAUGUGUAAGUAACUGUGCACGUCUUGACGGUACCUAAUCAGAAAGCCACGGCUAACUACGUG